UCCGGGUUGGACCCGGCGGUCCCGCCAGACAUGGUAACUGGCAGCGAGGGUUGCGCUCGUUGCGGGACUUAACCCAACAUCUCACGACACGAGCUGACGACAGCCAUGCACCACCUGUGCAGGGCCCUUGCGGACACCGCAUCUCUACGGCUUUUCCCUGCAUGUCAAACCCAGGUAAGGUUCUUCGCGUUGCCUCGAAUUAAGCCGCAUGCUCCGCCGCUUGUGCGGGGACCCGUCAAUUCCUUUGAGUUUUAGCCUUGCGGCCGUACUCCCCAGGCGGGGCACUUAAUGCGUUAGCUGCGCCACCGACAAGUAAACUUGCCGACGGCUAGCUUCCAUCGUUUACAGCGUGGACUAC
rnacentral:misc_RNA from 1 species